rnacentral:lncRNA from 1 species
CUUUCUUAUGUUAACUCUUCUAUGCAGAAGCUCUUCAUAAACAGUUCUCUUACCUGACUUAGCCUGUGGCAGAAUAUAAAGAACACUGAAUAUAAAUGAUUACUGAUCGGGUGCUGGAACUGGCUGCCCAGGGAGGUGAUUGAGUCACCGUCCCUGAAGGUGUUAAAGAAAUGUGUAAAUGUGGUACUAAGGGACAUGAUUUUGUGGGGAAAUGGUGGUGGUAGGUGGAUGGUUGAACUAGAUGGUCUUGGAGGUCUUUUCAAAGCUUAAUUAUUCUAUGAUUUUUUUUUUUUCUAUGAUUACUGAGUGAUCCAAAGUAUGAGAGGGAAUCCAUACAGCCUUUGCGUAGGACAGGACAUUGAACUCAAUGAAGAUUAUUUCUUAAAAUAAAGUUUGGUUUUGAUUUUGAGAGGAAGGUAUUUCUGGAGUUGCCAAGAUUUGCACUGGAGCCUCAACUUACUCUGGAUCUACAUACAAGUACCUAUAAGGUGUGGUAGUGGUAGAUUCAUAGCAACAUCCUUCAGUAGAGAAUUACCAGUACCUCUGACCAUGGUAACCACUGCUUUUCCCUUGUCAAGCCACAAGAGCUUCAUUCUGUGAACUAGUAAGUCACUUUUAUUUUAGUAGUACACGCACAAAGGAAAGCCUCAAUAAUAAUCUUAUGUGCUAACUUUAUGUCUUUUAAUU